ensembl:lncRNA
ACUGAAAGACGUUAUUUCUGUUGGAAAGGGCUGUGAAAGAAAUAAGGUUCUUCAUCCUUGUUUGGCACACGAGUGCCAAAAUCCAGGAUGGAUGUUGAGAAGCUUAAUGACAUGCAAGAAUGCUUGCCUGUGGCAAUGGAUAUCUGACCCUGCUGGGAGAGCAAGCUAUUCUGCAGGCUAUGUAGAUACAGCCUAAGAACAUGAAGAUCAAAUAACUAGAGAGGACCCCACGCUAUCAGCUCUGUUUUCUCAGAGCUUAGGACUUGAAGGCAGGAUACUGUGAAGGCACUUAUGAGCUAGAAGUACUGGGUGACAUCUGGACUUGGUACUGCCUCUGUCUGGCUCCCAGAAGAAGAGCAGUCUCCACAACAAGCUCAUCCUCAGCAGUUCCUGACAUGUUAUCUUUGGAAAAAUGAGAUAUUCCAGCUGACUAGAUCCUCACCCAUCAGUGUCACAAGUCUUCCUGGCUACAUGAGACAACGUUAAGCUUGCAACAUGAUCCAAUAGAAAAAUAAGUAUCAGUCAGUAAAAUCUAUGGGCAUCUAUUAACACUGUAAUGGUAGUCCCCAAAGAAAGGCAAGACCAAGUCAAGGCUGGGCAUGCAAGUUGUACCCAUGAGACGUGAGGAAAACUGAUUGCUUUGCUAAGUCCCAAGGUAGUUUUUUACUGUAAAUGCAAGUACAAAUACAGUUGGUGUGUCUACUUCAUUAACUCUGUACGAGUACUAACCACAUACAUACAUCACACCAAAAAUGUGUCUCACAGUACAAACACUUCCAAUGCUCUCAAAGUCCACUGAGGAAGCUGGACAAAAAGAUGACACUGCUCCUGAGGAAGUGAUCCCUGCCUCCCAUUUCUACACAGCAAUAAAAGAAAUGGGAUUUCUAAUUAAAAACAAAGAUAUCAGUUGCUGCCUAUUUUAUCCUCACAGAUUAAGAAGUGUACAUCAGGACAAGAUUAAUUAAUUAAUACUUCCGGCAAAGCAGACUAAUGUGUUAACAUUUUGUAAUUUCAAAGUUGCAUUUGUGUCCAUAAAUAUUAUCCUUUAGUCUGGUUUUUGCUUUAUUAUGAAGUUGAGGACAAAAAGAGGACAAGAAAGGAAAUGGAAGAAUAGCAAAACUACAAGGAAAAAAAAUGUUUAGGUAAAAAAUAAAGGACAGGAAAAGUACAUAGAAACUUUUCUACUUUAGUAGUUCAGUCCAUGGUAUAGCAGAAUGAAAUAGUGACGUUAAACAAUGAACUUUCACCAAGUUUGUAAAUAAGCAAGAGAACAGAGAAGCAUAAAACCUCUUAUAAAUAGUGGAUUGAGAACAAUAUGGACUCAAGCCCAGCCUAAAUUAAACAUCUCAUUUUUAACUCAUUGCUCUCUCAGAGAUGUUCUGGACUUAAAUUUGCUUACAGCAGGACAAAAAAAACAUGGCAGUUAUUUCUGACCUGCAAGAAUUUCUGAUGAAAGCUGUUCAGAAAUACAGCAAGUGGCUACUGAAAGGCACUGAACCAACCACAUUACUUACAGAUAAGCCUUACCACACCUGCACAAAUUACUUAUGUGAGAAAUCAGACUUCAUUAGGACCUUUGCAUGCACAUAAGUAUUUGCAGAACCAGGAAUCAAAGUCAAAUGCUGAGAAAAAACCCUUAUGCUAAUAUUCAGAUAGAGAUGCAUAUAAUCAAAUAGGGUGCAACAACCUAAAGAAGUCCUAAAGCUGUAAACUGAGCUCCACUGUUAAUCCUAUCUUCAGAAGACAGGGAUAACAAACAACUUCCUCACACGUGUAUCUGAGACAUAAACCAGAUCUAAUCAGAACUGUGAACAUUGUUCAUCAUUAAAAAAAACCAUUAGGCCACACCAGCCCUCUGCAGUGAAGCAGCUGAUGCAUCUGAACACCCGUCUGGACUUUGGCUUCCCUGCAGUUGAGAUUACUAUCUUUAGAGGUGGGCGAUGCCAAAUAGCAAGGGAUUAUAUUUACCAAGAUAUGAGGAUUGUAAAUUCAGGCUGUAAAUCUAAAAUAGAACUUGAAGCAUACGAUGUCCCUGCUGCUGCUGUGAGCACACUCAUUACAACUUUACAGCAGUGGUGACCUCUGAACUCUGUUCACUGUACAUUGUUUGUCUGUGCAAUAGACUGUGUGAUGCAAAUUCAGCUCUGCAGCGACAGAGAAGCUACUUCACUGCUUGGGGAAGAACUGCAGCAAACAUAUGCAGUUAUCCAGCUAUAAACACUGCAUGAAUAUUACUACAAUGAUCCUGCUCCAUCUAACAUGAAAACUAAGUAGUUCUAGCAUUAUCUGUGGCGGGGGAGGUUCAGGUCUGAUAUUAGUAAACAUUUGUUCUCCAAAAGAGUGGUGACACAUUGGAAUGGGUUGCCCAAGGAGGUGGUGGCAUCACCAUCCCUGGAGGUGUUCAAGAACCAUUUAGAUGUUUGCAUUGAGGAACACGGCUUAGUGAGGAAAUGGUGGUGGUAGUUGGACUGGACGAGCACGGAGGUCCUUUCCAACCUUGGUGAUUCUAUAUAUAUAGAAGCUGCAGAACAGCUGUCUGUGAGAUAAAGGCCACUUUGCUUGUUUUUCCAAUCUG